GGGCAGGUGGCGAAAUUGGUAGACGUACCGCGCUUAGGACGCGGCGCCGCAAGGCAUGGAGGUUCGAGUCCUCUCCUGCCCA
rnacentral:tRNA from 2 species